CUGAGUAAGGGGUGGUGUCCUAAAGGAGGAGUUGAAUGGAAGGUAUAUAAUGUGCUGUAAGGAGGGGGUCCUGUGCAGCUGCCCACCUAACCGCUUGCUGUCAUUGCUUCUGCUCUUGGGUGAAGAAUAACGAACUUAAUUUCAUGCAACUGCCUGUUUCUUUGGUCCCGGCUCAGAAACGAACCUGGUCUGCUAUAGCGGAAGAAGCGCCAACAACGCUUUGCCUUGAAGAGGUGGAGCAGGGAGAUGCAGCUCCUUCUACUGCCUGGGGAAGCAGCACCUGUUAAAUGUCUGCCUG